AGGGUUCGAUUCUGGCUCAGGAUGAACGCUGGCGGCGUGCUUAACACAUGCAAGUCGAACGGGAAUUACAUUUAGCUUGCUAAGUUGUAAUUCUAGUGGCGGACGGGUGAGUAACGCGUGGGUAACCUGCCUUAUACCGGGGGACAACAGUUGGAAACGACUGCUAAUACCGCAUAAGCGCACAGAUAGGCAUCUAUCAGUGUGAAAAACUCCGGUGGUAUAAGAUGGACCCGCGUCUGAUUAGCCAGUUGGCGGUGUAACGGACCACCAAAGCGACGAUCAGUAGCCGGCCUGAGAGGGCAAACGGCCACAUUGGGACUGAGACACGGCCCAAACUCCUACGGGAGGCAGCAGUGGGGAAUAUUGCACAAUGGAGGAAACUCUGAAUGCAGCGACGCCGCGUGAGUGAAGAAGUAUUUCGGUAUGUAAAGCUCUAUCAGCAGGAAAGAAAAUGACGGUACCUGACUAAGAAGCCCCGGCUAACUACGUGCCAGCCGCCGC
rnacentral:rRNA from 1 species